GCUUUCGUGGCCAAGUUGGUAAGGCGCAGCACUAGUAAUGCUGAGAUCAGCGGUUCAAAUCCGCUCGAAAGCA